UACAGAGGGGGCAAGCGUUGUUCGGAAUUAUUGGGCGUAAAGAGCUCGUAGGCGGUUUGUUGCGUCGGCUGUGAAAUCCCGAGGCUCAACCUCGGGUCUGCAGUCGAUACGAGCAAACUAGAGUGUUGCAGGGGAGACUGGAAUUCCUGGUGUAGCGGUGAAAUGCGCAGAUAUCAGGAGGAACACCAAUGGCGAAGGCAGGUCUCUGGGCCGCAACUGACGCUGAGGAGCGAAAGCAUGGGGAGCGAACAGG
rnacentral:rRNA from 1 species